rnacentral:rRNA from 1 species
GCGGAGGAAAAGAAACCAACAGGGAUUGCCUCAGUAGCGGCGAGUGAAGCGGCAAAAGCUCAAAUUUGAAAUCUGGCGUCUUUGGCGUCCGAGUUGUAAUUUGAAGAAGGUAUCUUUGGGCCCGGCUCUUGUCUAUGUUCCUUGGAACAGGACGUCACAGAGGGUGAGAAUCCCGUGCGAUGAGAUGACCCGGGUCUGUGUAAAGUUCCUUCGACGAGUCGAGUUGUUUGGGAAUGCAGCUCUAAGUGGGUGGUAAAUUCCAUCUAAAGCUAAAUAUUGGCGAGAGACCGAUAGCGAACAAGUACAGUGAUGGAAAGAUGAAAAGAACUUUGAAAAGAGAGUGAAAAAGUACGUGAAAUUGUUGAAAGGGAAGGGCUUGAGAUCAGACUUGGUAUUUUGCAUGUUGCUCUCUCGGGGGCGGCCGCUGCGGUUUACCGGGCCAGCAUCGGUUUGGAGCGGCAGGAUAAUGGCGGAGGAAUGUGGCACGGCUUCUGCUGUGUGUUAUAGCCUCUGACGAUGCUGCCAGCCUAGACCGAGGACUGCGGUUUUUUACCUAGGAUGUUGGCAUAAUGAUCUUAAGUCGCCCGUCUUGAA